CUUGGUUCUAUCUCAUCCAAGCAGAUGUGAUCUCCCCCAGUACUGAAUCUAAAUCUGCAGUUUAGCAGGGAAGUCAUAUGUGUAUGCUCGAAAGCAGAACACAGAUGUGAUGAUUUGAGGUGAACCUGGCCUCCAGGGGAAGCGGCAGCUAAACCUUCACAGGGGUUUCCAAGUAUAUCUGAGGUCCUAUGAAAGUUAAGCGAGAUCCCUGUGGAUAAAACGAUGCGGAUUUCACACGUGAUACAGUGGGCAUUUGUCUCCCUAGCACUGUGAACACCCUAAACUGACGUUCUACAUGGUUGAACUUGUCGUACAGUCUUACACAGCAGUCCUUGAAAAAAAAAAAAAAAGCCCACUCUUAGGGAAAAAAAUUAGAUGACAAUAACAACAAAAGGAGAAAGAAGAGAAAACCAAAUCCAUCACCAGCCUAGCCAGGACUGUCAGCAUGUGACCUGUUUAGGAAGCACCGCAUGCCUGUGCAUGUCUUCAAAGCCAGAAACAGCUUACUGUAGGAGAGCCAUGGGGCCAGGUAUGGGCCUCUGAUCCUUGAAACACUCUCUGAUGCUGAGAAGGACACAGGAAGUUCAACCACUGACUUCUCAGAGGAAGCCUCAGUGCCGCUGCACAGCGUUGAAAGACAGAAGGAAGAGAAAUAAGGUGAAGAACCUUAAACUCAUCAGGGUCAAAGACACUAGAAUCCAGAGCAAUGUGAACAGGCUCAAGAACUCCCUCCAGAUCAUGGUGCCAAACUCUCUGCUGACAGUAGUUUUUGAAGCCCCCUGACAAUUGCCCAGACAGAACUGACACUUGAUAGUAUAUAAUCUGCCUAAUAAAUUUGCUUGAAAUUG